AUUGAACGCUGGCGGCAGGCCUAACACAUGCAAGUCGAGCGAGCGGCGGACGGGUGAGUAAUGUAUGGGGACUGCCCGAUAGAGGGGGAUAACUACUGGAAACGGUAGCUAAUACCGCAUACUAUCGGAUAACCCAUAUGGGAUUAGCUAGUAGGUGAGGUAAUGGCUCACCUAGGCGACGAUCCCUAGCUGGUCUGAGAGGACGAUCAGCCACAUUGGAACGGAGAAGCGGCCCAGAGUCCUGCGGAGGCCGCAGUGGGUAAUGUUGCACAAUGGGCGCAAGCCUGAUGCAGCCAUGCCGAGUGUAUGAAGGAGGCCCUGGGGUUGUAAAGUACUUUCAGUCGGGAGGCGUUACCGACAGAAGAAGCACCGGCUAACUCCGUGCCAGCAGCCGCGGUAAUAC
rnacentral:rRNA from 1 species